ensembl:lncRNA
AAGUUUAAUCUCCAGAGUUCAUAUUUAAAACGGAAAGUCCCAGUUUUCCCCUCCCUGCAUCUAAUUCUCUCUUGCGCGCGCUCGACUGGCCAGCAAGAACGACGCUGCAACAGGAUCCUUCUGCACACGUUUAUUGGGAGAGCUUGAUUGUAGAGGCGAAAAGACCCUGAGCCCAGAACUGGUGCUGCUUACAUAGGCCUAGGAGAGGCGUGUCUCACAUCUGAUUGGUUAGCUUGUCUUGGCAAAAGAACCUUCACUGCCUAUGUAUGUGUGGUGGCCAGCAGUAGCCAACUGCCACUCUGCAACUGCCACUCUGCAACAGCUUCUCACAAUUCUCUAUUGCAGCUCUGUGAUGUUCCUCUCAGUGCCUCUCUCCUGCACCCAUCUGGGGACUCAAGCCCUCCUUGGACUCUAUGUUCUUCAAUUAUCAAGAAGAUGUUUUGUUUCCUAGCCUUCAAAUUAUCUUUUAUUCAGUCUGUCUUGUGCGCUUUGUCUCAUUACAUGUUGGGCACAGGCAGACUCUGCCCUUGGAGAUGAGCUCUGCCAUAAGGAAGUUAUAUCCAGCUCAGAAGCUUUGGAUUCCUAGACUAAAGCUGGACUUUCAGGCAGCUGGCAGAACCACUCUUGACUGCUGGGCAUCCUUGCCAACCAUCCAUAGCUGUGGACAUCUCACAGAGAAAAUAGGAAGGACUUCAUAGCAGGUACCGUGAUAGUCACAAAGCAUCCGUGAUGGGUACCCAAAGUCAAUGUGAAUACAUGCAACAGUGAGGAUGGCGCCAUAACCAAGUACCAUGCAUGGGCCAGUCUCUGAUGUCCCGUAGAGAUGCUAAGAAGUGUGAGUGCCUUGUUUACUCUGUAAUGGACAAGAAGGACACAUGUACAGUUCCCCAAACCCCUGGAUACUCUGGCCUUGAAACUAAAAUGUUAGGAUGAGCAUUGCAAAGGACUCUUUUAGGAGGUUCAUUUUCCUAAACAGCUCAUCUAGGUCACCUUAAUUAUCCAUGGGGUGCCAAUUAUUGUAGGUGCCAUGGUCCCAUAAGGAAUACAUAUUUCUUGUCCUAUACCUGAUGGACUCAUAGCCUCUCAGAAGCUCCCUGUUAACAAGGAGUGAUCACAGAGCCUGUAACUCUGGUUCUCUGGGCCAGUGAGACAGUUCAGCACGUAGAGGCACUUGUGGUGCAAGUCUGAAAAUGUAAGUUAGAUCGUUGGACCCCUCAUAAAAGUAGACAGAGAAGAUUGACUCCACAGCAUUGUCUUCUGACUCUACACACUGCUGUGGCAUACCUGCUCUCACUCACAUCAAGUGUGCAACACAACCGAGCAAGGAUGAAAACAAGCAGCUCUGCUCUAUAGACCUUCCUGGUAUGAUGGGUGUGUUUCCUAUCUACACAGGCCAAGACAUUGCCAGCAGCCACAUGUGGCUAAGAAGCAUUGCAAAAGCAGCUAGUAGGACUGAAGAGCUUCAUUCAUAACUUCAUUUCACUUUAUUAAUUAAAAUUUUAAAUCCAAGGACUUGCCUAUAACUGUUGGCUCUGCUGCCGGCUACAAGAGGAUGUGAGGCCAUCUACAGGCAAUAGCAGGGGUUGUAAGUGGGUACAAUGCGAUACCCCCACUGCCAGAGAAACACUGAUGGGAGUAAAAUGUUUCUGGGGGAGGGAGCCACAACUCUCCCUUCGCUAAGUCCCUUUUCCUGCUAGAAUAUUCAAGAAGCUGGGCUACAAAAACCCAGAGAUGUGUAGGGAAAGAAUUGUUUACACAUAUUCAAGUCAAUACAAAAACUAAGAAUAGCAGGAAGGGCUGGGAUACACAACCAGCAGGCCUGGAGAACAGAGCCUAGAAACCCUUCAUUUUCCUUAAGUCCUACAGGCACUUGACACUGUAGGAGCAACAAAGGCCACAAUUAAACCCCAGUGUGUACACACGCAGGGAUGUACAUGAACUGAAACCUAGCUUGUGCUCCAUUUCAGAAGGCUCUACUGGGAGGCCAUCUCUCUAGGAGAAAUGCCACUGUAGUAAGACCCUCUAUUUUGUUUUGACAUUUUCUUUCCUAGGAGGCUGAGCCAGAACUGAAGGUAGCCUUCCCUUCCAUCACCAGGUAAAGCUGGGUACCAGGCAAUUAGCAUCUUGCCAGCUCUGGAAUUCUGAAAGAGCAAGUGGAGUUUUCGUCUGCUUAUAUGUACUGACCUCAGGUUACCUGAGAUUUCAGAAGCCAGUUAAAGGAAGGAAGCCUGGGUAUCUAGGAGACACUGCUGUGGGGCAUGCAUAUAUCCUAGGCAAGCACAGCACAGCAGAGAAACUAUAAACAGUUGGGGAGUGAGGGUCAUUGGAUUUACUGGUUCCUACCUUAAACCUGUAGGAGUAUCCUUGAUCUUUAUAACACAGCCUACUGUCUGCUCACUCCCUAGAGAGACAUGUUCAGGAUCAUCAAUGAUUCACCUUCAACACUGCUUCCCCUCACAGACCAUCAAAUUAGUCAACAAAAGCUGCUGUUCACUUCUAGUCAUUUAUCUAGUUCUUCAUCCUGGUCCCAUUGACUCCAUGAGGUCCACCGGUACUAGGUCCCUACCUCUUCUCUCUCAUGCAUCUUCCCAGCUUGCCAGGGCACCAGGCUAAAAUUCAAACUGCAAGGUACCCACGCUUUUCUUUAAAAUCUUGGUUCUGUACACUCCGAAGGAUAAUGCCAGAUAAUGCCAACAUUUUUUUUUUCAAUGUGUCAAGGAAGGACUUGAAAAAAGCUGAUUCGGGUUCUUUCAUUUCUCAUGUCAAAUAAGCCAGCCUCCAUGGAUCAGGCUCCAGACCAGCCAUUCUCCCAACACUGCUGUGGAUGUAUGCCCCAAGCUUCACUUAAGCAUGCAUCAUCUCUUCUAGAUGAUUGCUCUUCUCUGACCCACAAGUCCUUGUUCACCAUCUGGGGCAACAUUCAGGGAUGUAGGUGGAGCCGGAAGCUAACAUUCCUUUGUUCCCACAGUUCUCUGGGAUAGAUGUGCUUCUUUGGUCCAAGGUGGUUCUGUCCUUUUGGCAGUGAGUUCUGAGUUCUGCAGCUCAGCCAACUGAGUGAUAUAGGUUUUGGAGAAAAGAUUGGAAUCACAGCUCAAUAAAUGGACAUGACUCAGCA